UUAAAUUGAAGAGUUUGAUCAUGGCUCAGAUUGAACGCUGGCGGCAGGCCUAACACAUGCAAGUCGAACGGUAACAGGAAGCAGCUUGCUGCUUUGCUGACGAGUGGCGGACGGGUGAGUAAUGUCUGGGAAACUGCCUGAUGGAGGGGGAUAACUACUGGAAACGGUAGCUAAUACCGCAUAACGUCGCAAGACCAAAGAGGGGGACCUUCGGGCCUCUUGCCAUCGGAUGUGCCCAGAUGGGAUUAGCUAGUAGGUGGGGUAACGGCUCACCUAGGCGACGAUCCCUAGCUGGUCUGAGAGGAUGACCAGCCACACUGGAACUGAGACACGGUCCAGACUCCUACGGGAGGCAGCAGUGGGGAAUAUUGCACAAUGGGCGCAAGCCUGAUGCAGCCAUGCCGCGUGUAUGAAGAAGGCCUUCGGGUUGUAAAGUACUUUCAGCGGG
rnacentral:rRNA from 1 species